GGGGGCGACCUGGUUUCGACGUGGAUUGCGAAGCUUGAGGCGCAUGCCGAGGAUGUAACAAAACCUCGUAAAAAACUGUUACAAACCAAAUAGUUGCCAACAAAAAACGCAACUUCGCUGUUAUCGCUAACGACCGCUUCUUCAACGAAGAAGUCGUUGCAAAAGCCGCCUAAACACCGGCACAGCGCCAUCCACCGAUUGUGCUUGUACGAUCGGAUGCUUGCGAAAGCAAGUGUAGGGUGGUCAUAGCAUACAAGCUCGCAGACUGAUAAGCCCGGGAUCAGGCUGCUAAAACUGACGGGAUCGCUGCCUGGACAUCCUUCCAGCCGGAGGUAGGGCAGCCAGAUGAAAUGACUGGAUAAGCAUGUAGACCCGAGAGUAGAGGAUUCGCGGACGCGGGUUCAAUUCCCGCCGCCUCCACCA
rnacentral:tmRNA from 1 species